rnacentral:rRNA from 1 species
GAUGAACGCUAGCGGCAGGCUUAAUACAUGCAAGUCGAGGGGUAGCAAGAUUGUAGCAAUACAAUUGUUGACGACCGGCAAACGGGUGCGGAACACGUACACAACCUUCCUACAAGUGGGGAAUAGCCCAGAGAAAUUUGGAUUAAUACCCCAUAGUAUAACGGAGAGGCAUCUCUUUGUUAUUAAAGAUUUAUCACUUGAAGAUGGCUGUGCGGCUGAUUAGGUAGUUGGCGGGGUAACGGCCCACCAAGCCUGCGAUCAGUAACUGGUGUGAGAGCACGACCAGUCACACGGGCACUGAGACACGGGCCCGACUCCUACGGGAGGCAGCAGUAAGGAAUAUUGGUCAAUGGACGAAAGUCUGAACCAGCCAUGCCGCGUGGAGGAUGAAGGUCCUCUGGAUUGUAAACUUCUUUUAUAUGGGACGAAAAAAGGCUUUUCUAAGUCGUCUGACGGUACCAUAUGAAUAAGCACCGGCUAACUCCGUGCCAGCAGCCGCAGUAAGAC